CACCAAAAGCAAAGACAUUUUUCCAAAGAAGACACACAAAUGGCCAACAGGUACGUGAAGAGGUGCCCAACAUUCUACUCAACAGGGAAACAAAUCCAAACCACAGUCUACACUGUGUUCACUGCGGCUCUAGUCACAGUUGCCAAGGGGUGGAAAAACCUGAGCGUCUGUGGACAGACGGAUGGAUAAAGUGCAUAUUCUUCAGCCUUAGAAAAAAGAGGGAUUAUUAUUGAGCCUUAAAACAAAAAGAGGGAGUCCUGUCCUCCCCAACCACAUGGAGGAGCCUGGAGGGAUCAUGCAGGUGGAAUAAGCCGGACAGAGAAAAAAGACCACAUGGUAUAAUUUACUGUGGAAUCUAAAAAAAAGACGUACAACUUGUAGAAACAGAGAAAAAAAUGGUGACUCCCAGAGGCAGGGGGGUGGGGGGACCAGGGAGUGGCUUGGUGAGAGGAUGUAAACUUUCAGUGACAAGAUGAAUGAGGUCUGAGGACCUCAAGCACAGCAGGGCGGCUGUCACGGACAACACCGCACAAAUUUGCUAAGAAAAUGCAACUUAUGUGUUCUCACCCCAAAAAAAAGGUAAAUACGUAAGGUAACGGACAUAAUAAUUAAUUGGAUUGCAGAAAUCCUUUCCCAAUGCACAUAUAUAUCAAAUCAUUACUGUCUAUUUUAAAUAUAAUUUUAUUUAAUCAUUAGAUACCAAUAAAGCUGAAAGAUAAGGGAUUAACAGAAGUAGCUAGUAAUUCUCAAAGUAAAAAAAAAAAUUCUGUUUAGAUUUUUUUCUCCUGAAGCCUGUGUAUCCACGGAUAAAUAUCACGUAUGGUUAGAAUAAGACCCAGUUUAAGAUCAGUUUUGUUCUGACUUUUCUUUUUUAAAGAGGUAGUGACUUGCCUCCUUGGUCACACAAGUCCACUGUUGAGAAGAGAUGCUGUUUCAGACAAAUGGAACUCAGUUCUUGGCAGGUCUUCGCAUCCGUACCAAAAGUGACGUGGUCAUAAAAUAAAAACUAGUGUCGAUGAUCAGCCAUCAACUUUAAUCAGCGGGUCUUCCAAGGAAAGAACACCUCUGGGCACCGCCUGAUCUGAAGCAGGGAAGUCACCAGGACACGGGUCACUCAAGCCCCACGUCCCAAGAAUCACGUCAAAGGGCUGGACUGACUGGAGCUUGCUUAGCUGUGCACCUUGUUCAAACCGAUGUGCUCAGAAAGCAUCUGAAAAUACAUGGAGUCAUUUCCAUGCACCUUUCCAUAGAGGAUGCCUUCAUGUGAGAAUUUAUUAUAACCAUGUCUCAAUUAUGUAUGCCCAUAAUUUUUGCAUGUUUAGAUCCUUCCGAUAAUUUAAGAGACAAGACAGUUUGCAGUGUCAAACCUAUGAGCCAAUCAGAAUUCCUUUUUAUUAGAAAAGGUUUUAGUUUCCUUUUAUAUUCAAGUAAAGAUGUUGGUAGAUAGAGAUACUUUUUAAAACAUUGAUAAAUAAAUUAUGCAAUACAGUCAUAAAAUCAGUAAUGAAAUAAGUAAAGUCAGGAUUAAAAUGAAACUGAGCUAAUUCAACUACGUGAUCCAAUUUAUAAUAAACGAUACAACCAGAUACCAACGGCUUUCUCCCUGAUAUUAAUCAAGCAAAGUUAAAUGUAACUAAAGUAAUAAGUACAACAGAAGGCACGAUAUUUCUUUGGUAAAUGCGUUUGCAUGUGUUCACGAGGUGCUGUUGUUAGGCCUUGGAGAAUAAUCCCAAAAAGUACUGCAUUGUUUAAAUCGGGGGCGGGGGGAAUCCCAUUAAUUUUUGUUCAGCCACAUGAUCAAACUUUCCCUUUGGAGGGUGUUUCCUACCUUCAGUCUUGUCUUUGCAUUCGAAGCACAACAGUGCCCAAUGCAUCUGUCCUAAUCCCUGUUUCAAAAAAUCCUGUCACUACUCUUCACAAACCGUAACGGUUCCCCACCCGCCACAGGACAGUGGAACCCAAUCUGAGUGGCCCCGGACGCGGCCCCACGUCUGUCCCUUUCCCUCCUCCACUCCAUCACGUCCCAGCUGGGAGGACAUCUGGUCCUCAGGGCCUGUUUCUCACAGUCUCAGCUCUGCUCUGUCCUGGGCUCGAGUUUGGGGAACUGGAAUUCCAUAUAUUCUGCUCGUUGACAUUAGAGUCCAAGGAAAACAGAGAGCAGAGUCGCACCCUGUGAGCAGAAUCACACCCCGAGUCUCCCCUUCCAUCCUUCCCAAGCACAUGACCUUGCACCCAACAGGUGCUCGUUAGGUGUCUGCCGCUUGGCCCGCCCAGAGAAACCCACUGUCCAGUUUCUCUGCGACCAGCGGUCCCCACCUCCACUGCUGGAGUCUGAGAAGUAGAAACACCAAGAACACUUACGGAGACUCACCCAGGAAGCACUGACUGGACAGCAUCGCCCAGAAGACAGCACAUAUAGCUCCGAAAACAAACAACAACAACCCGACGACAGCAACAACAACAACAAAAACCCACAAAGAAACUACAACUGAGAUGAGCGUGGAAAAGGUGGUGGUUGUGAUUUGUGUUCAUAAGACCUUGGACCAGAGCAUCUCCGAACAGCAUCCUUAAGCGUUUCUGUUUCUAAAAAUACUGCUCGGGACACCAGCUCAGCCGUUCUGAGACCAUGAGAUCUCAAGCAGGGUAUUGAUAUUUUCGAUUCUAGUUAGAGUUUUAGAUGACCUUUGCCUUAAAGCUUCACUAGCCAAGAGCAGGGCUGAGUGCAGCCUCGCCGGCUGCAGCUCUCCGAAGGCCGCCCAGUCCCAGUCCUGAACCAAAGCCAAGGCCCAGUUAAAGUUUCUUCACAGCAGACUUCUUUUCUCACCCAUGACAUUCUUCACUUGGGGAAAGAAAGAAAGAAAGAAACUUAUCUUUCAGAUUUAGCUGCCUCUAUCACACAAGUGUGAACCGGGGGUGGUUUAUGUUCUACGAAGGCUGUUUCUCUUUAUAAAUCCUAAACAUUUAAAAAUAUCUUUGCCUGUGCUGGAAUGUCAAUUUCUGGUAUUUUGGCUGCUUCAACAUGAAUCGUUUGUGAUUAUGAAGCUGUUUCAGUUCUCGGAAUUUGCUGGAGACAGAUUCCCAAACAGAACGUCCUCGGAGGUGGGUGUGGGCAGAUUCGGGAAAGAAUGCACAGCUCCGCUUGGCCUUGCAGUGCAUUUUUUCCAGGGUGCUUUCGUGCACGCUCACGUGCACACACACACACACACACGCACGCAUGCGUGCACCCACACAAAUACACAGACACACUUGGUGUCCAAGGCCUGUGAAGAAGAGGAGCAGCAGCUUCAAUGUCAACUGUCACAGGUCCUCUUUCCUCACGGCAUCGAUGAGCCAGCUGCAGACCUCCCUCUGUCUCAGCAAAGACAUGUCAGUAAUAAAUUAGCAACACACUCCUGGAAUGACAGGAAGGUAUUUUGGUAGUACUGGGAUAGGGUACGGAUUCAAUAAGAGUUCUUAAGGAGGCCCUUUUAAAGUGCAGGCAGUGGGCUGAGAAUCUGACUGCAGUGGCUCGGUGGCGGGGAAGGCUGGGGUUCAAUCCCAGGCCUGGCACAGUGGGUAAGGAUCUGGUGUUGCUGCACCUGCAGCAUAGGUUGCAACUGCGGCUUGGAUUCCGCCCCUGGCCUGGGACUUUCCAUAUGCUGCAGGUGCAGCCCUAAAAAAAUUUUUUUUUAAAUAAGAAAUAAAGAGCAGGCAGUGAAAAGGCAAGGCAGGCAGGGUGAUGCGGACCUGAGCCUUGGAGAAAGAAGGCUGGGAUUCAGGUUCCCAAAAAAGCCCCAUAUCCCCAGGUCCAGGCCUCUGUCUCCCCCACCCCUUCCUCCAGCAUCCCCAGCCAAGACAGCACUGGCCCUUCUCCUGCACCUCCAGCUCCAUUCCAUCCAUCCAUCGCCCAGCCCAACUGCCUCCCCAGUGGACAUCCUCUGUCCUCAGGUCACCGCGUUAAUUUCCACAUAAUCGAGGUCACCUCUCUCCCGAAGAUGCUGUCACUUGGGCCGCCCUCUGCUUUCGCCCCUCUCCAUUCAGCCAAAGGAUAAUUCAGUUCUUGAGCUGUUGUGUGUGUGCCUUCAACUCCCCAGCUGAGCUGUCUAGAAAAGCACAAUCACCCUGAUGGGGUCUUUCAGUCUGUGGCCAUGAGCUGUGGGUGGGCUCUUACUACCAUCACUCUGCACCUCCCGCUCUCUAGAGGACUCCUCACUCCCCACUUUGUCUCUCCAAAGUCACAAGCCCUCUUCCACCAUGGCACCCUCCACUGGUGGCUUUGCUUCCUACUUCACAACGAAAAUAGAAGCAAUCAGAAGAAAGGGACUUUUGCUGGAGGCCACCUGGGCAUCCACGUCUCUGUCAUUUAUUUUUGGUCCCCACCAGGAACCAUCGGUGCUGCUUUGGAAACAAACAACUCCACUUGCACCCAAAUGCAUGUUCUUGCCUGCUCCAGAAAUGGCCCAGUAGCCUCCCGUCCUACAUGAUCAAUUUUUUAUGCUCCACUGAAUCAUUCCCAUCAGGAUAUAAACAUAAUGCCGAUGCUUUCCACUAAAAAUUACUUCUCUUGGCCUGACCUAUCCCACCAGAUACCACCCCACAGCCUGCUCCCUUUGCAGCAAAGCUUCUUAGAACGCUCAUCAGCCAUCUCUCCGAUUCCUCCCUCCAAGCCCACUCCACCUGGGCCAGAAUCACACACUAUUUUGCUGUUUUACCAAAGCCACCCAUGACCAGCAGGGCACUGAUCCAAGAGUCACGUCUCGGUCCCCACCUCCCCUGGCCCAUCCACACACUGGAUCAUCUGUCCCGCCUUUGGAAAUGAUCCCUGAGACACCUCGCUCUUGACACCCCCGCCCCCCCCCCAGUGGCUUCCCUUGGUCUCCUUCACUGGCUCUCUUGCUCCCCAAAAACCCAGAAUACCCCAGGACCUGAUCCUGAAAACUCUUCUCUCACUAGAUCUCACCUGAGUUCAUUCCUUUAAACACCAACCGCAAGCCAAAGACUUCAGCUCUAUCUCCAGCUCAGAUCAUGGUCUUCCACUAUCAGAUCAGGACACGCCACCAAAUAGCAUCUCUGUUUGGGUGUCUUAUUGUCUCAAAUUCAACCUGUUCAAAGCUGAACUUCCAACUUCCUUCUGCACCAAAGCCUCUCCCCCUGCAGACUCCCCAGCUCAGCUGGUGACAACUCCCCCUAGUCAGGCACGCUAAAAUCUUUGCCAUCAUGACGGACUUUCCCUUCUUCUCAAGCCCCACGUCCAUUCCACCGGCACAUCUCAAGGGCUCUGUCUCCAAGACAUGUCAGAAUGUGAGCACGCUUCCCCAUCUCCAGAGCCACCCGUGGAGCAGACUACCGUUACGCCUUGUCUGAAUUCCUGCAGUGGGUUUCUCCAGCGACCUCUGAUGGUCUGCUGGUCCACCGCCGUCCCUGCCCUGCGUUCUAUCAACACUGACGCCAGCAUGCGCAUCACAAAUGGAUCCUGUCCCUCAUCUGCUUAAAACCCUGCACGGAUUUCCCACCACCACACCCAGCAGUCCCCCCAGUAGCCCACAAGGCUAAACAUGGUCAGGUUUCCGUGACCUCCUGACUCCACCCCUGCCCCCGCCCCCAGACUCACAGCUCUCCGCUGGCCCCCCUCAGCCACCCUGCCUCGCCGUGUUCCUCCAAUGCGUGGGGUGCACAGAUUGGGUGCUGGGCUUUCACACUCACUUUUUCCUCCAAUUGCAACUCUCUUCUCCCAGACGCUUAACGACUAGUUCCCACAGGUCCUGAAACCCACGUUCGAACGUCAGUUUUUUAAUGAGACCUCCCGGAACCCUCCGUUUAAGACUCCAUCCCUCUAGACUGGGUUGUUUUUUGUUGUCUCCACAACACUCAUGCCUGGAAAUGAAACGUCCCUCACUUCUCCACACUGUGGAGGGGGGGCCCUGUGUCUCAGGGCCCGUCCCCACCCCCCUCCUCCACACACACACCCCCUCUAACCCAGAAUCUCCCUGGCGGCAGAAGUUGGUGUCGGCAGCAUUCGCCGUGUUCGGAGUUAGAAGAGCACCUGACACAAUGCAGAUGCUCGAUCCACACAUUCUGGAUGAAUUAAAGAGACACUGAGACCCUGGGGACAACAUAUGAAUCUUCUAAACCUCUUUCUUGGUUGACAGAACGAGACUCAGGAUAUUAACUUGUUGUUAUGUGCAACAAAUGAGGACCCCUGUGGAAAUCUUUGUAAGAUAUUAAUUACUACAAUUGCUUAACAUGACACGUUGAGGCUCAUCCUUAAAAUUCAUUCAGGAGACACG
rnacentral:lncRNA from 1 species